rnacentral:tRNA from 1 species
GCCUUCGUGGUAUAACGGUAGCACACUCGGCGCGUAUUCGAGAGGUCCAGGUUCGAAUCCCGGCGAGGGCA